UACGAAGGGGGCGAGCGUUGUUCGGAAUUACUGGGCGUAAAGGGCGCGUAGGCGGCGACUCAAGUUAGAUGUGAAAGUCCUGGGCUUAACCUGGGGACUGCAUUUGAUACUGGGUUGCUUGAAUUCGGGAGAGGAUGGCGGAAUUCCCAGUGUAGAGGUGAAAUUCGUAGAUAUUGGGAAGAACACCGGUGGCGAAGGCGGCUAUCUGGACCGACAUUGACGCUGAGGCGCGAAAGCGUGGGGAGCAAACAGG
rnacentral:rRNA from 1 species